GACAGAGGGUGCAAACGUUGUUCGGAAUUACUGGGCGUAAAGCGCGUGUAGGCUGCUCGGAAAGUCGGAUGUGAAAGCCCUGGGCUUAACCUAGGAAGUGCAUUCGAAACUUCUGAGCUUGAGUAUCGGAGAGGGUCGCGGAAUUCUCGGUGUAGAGGUGAAAUUCGUAGAUAUCGAGAGGAACACCUGUGGCGAAGGCGGCGACCUGGACGAUAACUGACGCUGAGACGCGAAAGCGUGGGGAGCAAACAGG
rnacentral:rRNA from 1 species